UGCUUUGNGUAAGUAUGAAGUUAUUCUGAGC
rnacentral:piRNA from 1 species